rnacentral:tRNA from 1 species
CCUGGUAGCUCAGAGGGUAAAGCAUCUGCCUGCAAUGCGGGAGACCCAGGUUCAAUCCCUGGGUCAGGA